UGCCAGUAGUGAUAUGCUUGUCUCAAAGAUUAAGCCAUGCAAGUCUAAGUACGAGCUCUCGUACAGCGAAACUGCGAAUGGCUCAUUAAAUCAGUUAUGGUUCAUUUGAUCGUAUGGUUUACUUGGAUAACUGUGGUAAUUCUAGAGCUAAUACAUGCAAACAGCGCCGACUUCGCGGGAGGCGUGCUUUUAUCAGACCAAAAACCGACCGCGGCUCCGGCCGCGUUCGACUGGUGACUCUGGAUAACCUGGCGGAUCGCACGGUCUAGCACCGGCGACGGAUCAUUCAAGUGUCUGCCCUAUCAACUUUCGUCGGUACGGUAUUCGCCUACCGAGGUUCUUACGGGUAACGGGGAAUCAGGGUUCGAUUCCGGAGAGGGAGCCUGAGAAACGGCUACCACAUCCAAGGAAGGCAGCAGGCGCGCAAAUUACCCAUUCCCGACGCGGGGAGGUAGUGACGAAAAAUAACAAUGCAGGACUCAUUCGAGGCCCUGUAAUUGGAAUGAGUACACUUUAAAAGCUUUAACGAGUAUCCAUUGGAGGGCAAGUCUGGUGCCAGCAGCCGCGGUAAUUCCAGCUCCAAAAGUAUAUAUUUAAGUUGUUGCGGUUGAAAAGCUCGUAGUUGGAUUUUGGGCGCGGGCGGUCGGUCCGUCGCGAGGCGUGUACUGGUCGACCCGGCCUUACGUCCGGUUCUCCGGCGGUGCUCUUGACUGAGUGUCGGCGGCGGCCGGAAAGUUUACUUUGAAAAAAUUAGAGUGUUCAAAGCAGGCUCUCGAGCCUGAAUAAUGGUGCAUGGAAUAAUGGAAUAGGACCUCGGUUCUAUUUUGUUGGUUUUCGGAGCGCAAGAUCUGGUGCAACAUUUAAAAGCAACAUUUGAAAAGAACCAAGAACUGGUAUGUGCUGACAAGAAUAUUCAGUGUUUGAAGUGCCAAAAGACUUUUUCUGGUUCAGAUUCAUUCUUGGAAUCUUUGCUUCAUAUGGAGAAUAAACACAUAGAUAUUUUAAAGAGCAACAAAACAGUCAAAGAAACUACAAUUCAGACUGAUGAUUCGUCUGUCAUGACGCCCAUUCAUGAAUGUGUAGUUU
rnacentral:rRNA from 1 species